AGAAUCAACGCUGGCGGCGUGCCUAACACAUGCAAGUCGAACGAGAAAGUGGUAGCAAUACCAUGAGUAAAGUGGCGCACGGGUGAGUAACACGUGACUAACCUACCCUUGAGUGGGGAUAACUGAGGGAAACCUUAGCUAAUACCGCAUAAUACCCACGGGUCAAAGGAGCAAUUCGCUCGAGGAGGGGGUCGCGGCCGAUUAGUUAGUUGGCGGGGUAAUGGCCCACCAAGACGAUGAUCGGUA
rnacentral:rRNA from 1 species